UACAAUGAUUCUUUUGGGGAGGGAAAGGAGGGUUGGACUUGAGAGUAGUUUAUUUUUAAUAAAGCAAAAUGUGUCUUUUGGUUAGUGUAACAAGCUGGUUAAUAAGAAAGACAGUUACUUUAUGGUUCUUCACUAUCAGCUUUUUCUUUCCUGAAAUGUGGAAAAUAACACAUAUUUUCUACCUACCUCACAGGGAUGUUGUGAGGAUUGAUAGGAUCAAAUGUUAUAAAAUUCCAUGGUUUUUAAAUCAUAUUGGUGGUAGGAGUAGUUUCUGUAAGAACUGAAUUACUAGCUUUUGUCAACCUGUGGUGACAUAGUGUCUGAGGUUCUAAGUAUGACAAACAUUCUUACUCUUGACCAGACUCAUGAAGAAUGGUGCCAUAUAUGGCUGGGAAGAUGAAUGCUGAAUUAAAUUCAGUUCCUGAAUCUGUUAAUUGCCAAUGUGAAAGCACUUCUAUAUGUGUUUUAAAUUUCUGUCCUUAUCUUCAGGUUGGUCUUUAGAAUCUGGUCUUAUUUCUCUGUGCUUUCUUGUAAUUUAGGAAGUAGAGUGUUAGUAUGGUUAAAAAAAUACUGAAAAUCCUAGCCUGGUUAGUGUCUAUAGAAGAAGGGAUUUUAGCAUUAAGAACUGGGGCCAGUCAUACUAGGCCCUAUCACCUCCAAAGUCUGUUCAGCCUAAUGACUCUAGUCUUUCAAAGAAAUUGUAAACAUACUUAAUUUUUCUGAAUAUAUGUCAAAAGCAGAGUUAAGAUACUUUAAUUAUUUAGUUAUAUGUUCUCAUUUUAAGGAAAAAUGGUUUUUAGGGCCUUUGGCCUAAUAAAGCUAUAUAAACCUUUGUUGGCACUCUUUUAAGUCAUUUAAAGAAGCUUGGUUUCAUUGUCAGAUCUAGGAAUGAAUAUAAAUUAAACAUUCGAUCAUGUUCUGAAGGGUAGAAGCCCACUGAAAGACAAUUCUGCAGUUGAGGUUGUUUAGAACCAUGGUUAUUAUAUUAGUCAUCUAAGUGAUUAUCAUUGGUUUCAACAGGUAAAAAUAUUUAGUCUUUUUCCAUGUGUUAAUACUAUUUUUUGUACCUUUCUCUGGUAAGGGUUGUAUUUGGCCCCAGGACAAGAAAUAUUUCAAGUCAGUUCACCCAUUCCACCUUUUGCUUAGAAACUUACUACCUUUGGAGAAAGCCAAAAUGUUGUCCAGGUGAUUGUGACAAUGGCAACUUGAGAUUUCAGUUUUGCCUUAGAAAAAUGGGAAGUAGUGCUCCACACUGUGGCAGAAGUGGGAUAGCAUUUCUAACUCCUUUGACACCAAGAUUGAAACAACGUUGUUGGAGGAGCCAAGACCAACCAAGCAAGAUGGAAGGGACACUGAUGUGAUAUAACUACCAUCUCACCAGCAUCACAGUUUUUCCUAUCUGGGAUACCUGAUUUUAGGUUCAGUCAAUGUACUCUUAAACGUGCCUUACUGAGAAAAGUUCAAGCUCAACAUUUAAAGAAGUGAAAAAAAAAAAGAAAACGCUCAGUCCGCAAUGACGCAUUAUCUCCGCAUGGCCUUGAAAAGACAGUAGUAGGGAAAAACACAUUUUACUGUGUGCCUCAAGGAAUUUCUAAUGCUGAUUGCUUAGUAACACCCUGUGCCUUCUGUGUGGAGGAAUGCGGCCCUCACAUCCCUUUGGGAAUCUCAAAUGAACAAGUGAUAGUUUGGCAGCAGUAGAAAAGAAUAGGACUUUAUGAAUGUGAAAUCAUGAUUUUUUUGCUUUUUUUACCAAGAAGAUUUAAAUGUAUAAUAAUCCUUUCAGGUCAUCUCUGCAUCUAUUUGUGAUUUCAUGUUACAAUUAUGUCAUGCAAAAAGACAAUAGCUAUUAUAGAUUGUCUUCAACAGUUGAAACUCAGACUUGCUCUGUUCAGUAAACUUCAUUUGUAGACCAUAAAAAGAUGAGAAAUAUUAUAAAAUAGUAAUUUUUGUUAUGGAAUUACAGUGUAUUUUAUAUUUGUCAAGCUCACUUACAUGUGUCUUUUUGUCCCUUUACUAUGGAGAGGAAUAAGACUAUGAUCAUGGCAGCAUCUCAGCUUGCUCUGAUAUAUUUCCUCCUGCUCUAUUUUAUUUAUGCUUUAAAUAGUUGUAGCUGAAAAUAAGUGGACCAACCAUUGGAUAGAUUUAAUUCAUAUAUUUAUUCACUGUCUUUCUGUUCUCUUCCCCAUAUACACACCCUGCAGUGAUUCUAAACCUGAUUUUCUGUUCAGGAAAUGGUAUGGGAUGGCUAUUUCCAAAGUUUACAAAUAAGUAGACAUUGAUAUUCUAGUUGUGCACUAUAUAUAUUCUUCCAGAGUCAUACCAUUUUUUAUUAUGCAGUGUACUUUAUGGAUAGUUAUAUGCUUUAUGCAUACUGAUUUAGAAUGGACAGUUUACCAGAGAACUAAGAGUCCUACUUUGGGACAAAUUUGCAAGCAAAAUGUAGACAACUUUGAGUAGAUUUUAAGAUAUAGGUUGUUAAGGGAAGAAGAAACAUCAGCAAUUGGUAAAUGGUAUGUUUCUAAUAGUUGUAGUUCUUAGAAAUUCAGCCAGCUUAGAAAUGUUUAUGUAACCUAAAAAAUUUUUAAAAAUAAUUUUAAAACUCAGAGGUUUGAGUUGGCCUGUAAUGUUAUUGAUAAUAAUAUCAAGAAUAUUUGAUUUUUUUUUUUAUCCCAGCAAGAAUAUUGUCUUUUGGAUUCCUUAAAUGAAAAGUAGACAACAAAUUUCACCACUUUACUCUUACUUUCCACACUUUUGUCAGUCCAAGGUGCUUUGCCCUCUCUAUUCUGUUUAGUCCUGUUGGCCAUGAGAGACCAAAUGUAUAUUUUAUAGCUGAAGUUGAGUAUUUAAAUUGUAACUUUGUGGGUGGUACUCAUGAAUAUUUAAUAUUCUACUUCUACCUGAUAUUUAAAUCAUUUCUUGAAUCUGCAUAAUGCAUUGUGUUAAGAUAAUUAUAGGUACAAGGUAACAGAUUUUUGGCUGCUUAUCAAGGUAGCAGUAGUCAUAGUCCUCUCAAAGACAUUUUAUUUUUUGUCCCCUUUUUUGUUUAUAUUUAUUAUCUCUUUUGUAAGAUAGUGUGCAUAUAAAGUAUGAAAAGCUUUCUGUUAUUACUUGUAUUUUCUAAUCUAAUUUUUAUGUAGUUUUUAUUAAAUGCUCCAUUACUUUUUAUAAGAA